UACGUAGGGGGCAAGCGUUGUCCGGAUUUAUUGGGCGUAAAGAGCGUGUAGGCGGCCACACAGGUCUGCUGUGAAAACUCGAGGCUCAACCUCGAGCUGUCGGUGGAAACCGUGUGGCUAGAGUCCGGAAGAGGAGAGUGGAAUUCCCGGUGUAGCGGCGAAAUGCGCAGAUAUCAGGAGGAACACCAAUGGCGAAGGCAGCUCGCUGGGACGGUACUGACGCUGAGACGCGAAAGCGUGGGGAGCAAACAGG
rnacentral:rRNA from 1 species